rnacentral:rRNA from 1 species
CCUACGGGUGGCAGCAGUGAGGAAUAUUGGUCAAUGGACGAGAGUCUGAACCAGCCAAGUAGCGUGAAGGAGGACAGCCCUAUGGGUUGUAAACUUCUGUUAUAAAGGAAUAAAACGAGGCACGUGGGCCGUUUUGCAUGUACGUUAUGAAUAAGGAUCGGCUAACUCCGUGCCAGCAGCCGCGGUAAUACGGAGGAUCCGAGCGUUCUCCGGAUUUAUUGGGUUUAAAGGGAGCUUAGAUGGGUUGUUAAGUCAGUUGGGUAAGUUUGCGGCUCCACCGUAAAAUUGCAAUUGAUACUGGCAGUCUUGAGUACAGUUGAGGUAGGCGGCAUUCGUUGUGUAGCGG